UGAGGAAUAUUGCACAAUGGGCGCAAGCCUGAUGCAGCAACGCCGCGUGCGGGACGAAGGCCUUCGGGUCGUAAACCGCUUUUCUGGGGAAAGAGCAAGGACGGUACCUCAGGAAUAAGUCUCGGCUAACUAUGUGCCAGCAGCCGCGGUAAAACGUAGGAGGCGAGCGUUAUCCGGAUUUACUGGGCGUAAAGCGCACGCAGGCGGCUCCGUGAGUCGGACGUGAAAGCUCCCGGCUUAACCGGGAGAGGCCGUUCGAUACUGCGGGGCUUGGGGUAGGGAGAGGAAUGCGGAAUUCCCGGUGUAGUGGUGGAAUGCGUAGAUAUCGGGAGGAACACCUGUGGCGAAAGCGGCAUUCUGGCCCUCACCUGACGCCGAGGUGCGAAAGCGUGGGUAG
rnacentral:rRNA from 1 species